rnacentral:lncRNA from 1 species
AGACUUGCAGUCCUUCUCCACAGCUGUGUUCUUUGCCGAUCGCAGAUUGCAGUCCUUUGUGAUUCCAGGAUAAAUCCAUUUUGCUGGUAAAAUAACUGGCUGUUUCCUUGUUUUAGGUUAGCAACCCCCUCCCAAGGCCAAGGCCACACCUGCUUCAAAGCAGGCUUGAAGAGCAGACUGGAAGCCUCCUAUGACGGAAGCUAGGUUCUUUGGGACUCAGUGACCUCUGUGCUGAGUGGAUACUCCUUCAGAAAGGCUUUUCCUUUGUUCUUCCAGAGACCCAGCGCCUCGUCUGUUUCCCUACGUGUGGCUCUAGGUGGCCUGAAAAAAGCAAGUUAUCCUGACGGCAUCUUCAGCUGCACGACUUGCUGACCAGCCCCGUGCUCGGCCUGAGAGAGGGAACCUUAGUAGAGGAUGUACCGGGGCCAGAGCCGGAGAAGGACGUUUUGGACCCAUGGGCGCGCCUGUUCACAGACGCAGAGGCUCGGAGAGCCUGCGUGUCCAGGACGACGCGUAUCAGGAGAGGGGGUCCCUGGCUGUGUUCCCGCUCUGUCCUCCCUAUAGCUCCCCGCACACCCGGAUGUGGCCCCGUGGAGCCGGCCCCCGGGGGCCCGGCAGCUCUCAGAGCGUCUGAGAUGCUGGUCUCCCUGGAAGGCUGCUUCCUCUGCUCAAAGUGGCCCUCCGUUUCUCACUUUUCUGUUUCGAAGGCUGCAUACGAGUGUACCUUCGGCAUGCGUCUCUUUUGGAGAACCUGUCACCUUGAAAGUCGUGCUGCCCAUACAGCAACCCCCCCCCCCCAGCAUGGGGAGGGGCCCUUCCCAAAGCCAGUGACCAAGAAAGAAUGCUUUUCUCGCUUGCUGAAGCCGAAGCCCUUCCCAGCCUGUGGGCUCUCACUCCCUCUGCCCCGGGUUCUGACGGCUUCUGGUGACCGGCAGCCCCGUCUGUCCCUUCACGCUCUCCCCGGUGGGACCGGGGGCCUCCACGGCCUGGGCCUGCUCGUCUCGGUCUGACCUCCGGAGGUCACCUCUCAGUCGCUCUCCUGAAACCACCUGCAGGUCUCCUGGCCUUGUGGCCUUGUGGGUGAUCUCAGGGCCCCCCAUUUCUGCUCCUCCCCAUGGACUGCUCCUGGGUCCUCUUCCAGAAAGCUCUCUGAGUCUCUGCAAGUGUUGGAGGCACUGUCUCAACCAGGACCCCCUUUCUCUCCUGCCUUCAGGGACUGUCCCCAGCUGCCAGCAUGCCCACUUUAUUUGCGCUCACACGGCCUCGAGCAGGUACCCCUGCCCUCUGGUCUCCAGAGAGUGACUGUUGGGAGCAAACGUUCUUGCCACGUCCUGGCUCCUUCCAACCCGUGCGUGUGCUGCCCAUCGCUUGGCCUUCUCCCUGGCCGUGCCGCGGCCCCCGCUCUGGAUCCCGGGCCGUUCUGCCUGCGUGAGGACCUCACCGCACCAGCGGGGCCCCACCUCCUGCCCCCGUCCGUCACCCCCCUGGCUCCCCAGUCCCAGCAGAUACAGGCUCCCAAGCCUUUACCUUCGCAGGGAGCUGCGCACGUGGGCCCUUGAGCUGUCUUUUCUGAACACCGCCCUCUCACAGCCAGAGAGGAGCCAGCACACUGGUGACGGCCUGCCCCCGCUCACUCCAACUCCUCAUCCCGCAGAAAGGCCCAUCACCCAGUCACUGAAAGUGCUCCCCAGCGGAUCACCCGAGGCCCGCCAGAUCCAAAUUUAGGAAUUCUCCACAUA